rnacentral:rRNA from 1 species
UACGUAGGGAGCAAGCGUUAUCCGGAUUUACUGGGCGUAAAGCGCGCGUAGGCGGACGUUUAAGUGUGGCCUGAAAGCCCCCGGCUCAACCGGGGAGGGCGGCUGCAAACUGGGCGUCUUGAGGGGGAUAGAGGAGAGUGGAAUUCCUGGUGUAGCGGUGAAAUGCGUAGAUAUUGGGAAGAACACCGGUGGCGAAGGCGGCCAUCUGGACCGGAACUGACGCUGAGGCGCGAAAGCUAGGGGAGCGAAUGGG